rnacentral:tRNA from 1 species
AAAGACUUAGGAUAAUAUAGACCAAAGACCUUCAAAGUCUUAAGCAGAAGUUAAACCCUUCUAGUCUUUG